ACUGCCUCUGGCCUUUUAUUCAGGUCUUUAUGCAUAUGGUGGAUGGUUUUAUUUGAAUUUCAUAACUGAAGAGGUUAUUAAUCCAAACAGAACCAUCCCAUUGGCCAUCAUUUUCUCUAUGGUGACUGUUACCAUGUUUUACGUGCUGGUCAAUGUGGCUUACUAUACCAUGAUGACCGCAAAUGAG